UUAUUUAUUAACAUGGAAAACAUUAACUAUGUAGAUAAAAUAACGAGAAAAAUUUUUAAAUUUCUCUAAUUAUGUCGACAUAACAAGAUUUUAGUAUCAAUAAUAAAGUUAAAAAGUGUAAAAUAAGUAAAAUUCUGCUUCUUUAAGAUUUUAGUUAACAUUGAUUAAAGACAGAAAUAUUAAAUAUAAUGUAAAUAUGUAAUAACAGACUCCAGAAUAUAUGCAACUGAAAAUACAGGUAUACAAACAAGUCCACAGAAAUAUUAAAAAGCUGUGAUAAUAACAGGCUCCAGAAUAUAUGCAACUGAAAAUACAGAUAUACAAGUCGACAGUACUAUUAGAAAAAAUAAUUUCUCUAAAAUGGAAGUUAUUUAUAUGGGUAAAAGGACUAUAAGUCUUUCACGUGCUACAAUAGUUGUAGGCAUUUUAAUAUUUAAAAAAAUACAAAAUAAACACAAAAAUAGGGUACUGACGAAGUGAACACUUUUCAGUAACUAAGGGCAUUUCAGUAUUCAGGUACAUUCAUUCCAAAUAAUAAAAUAAUAAAAA
rnacentral:lncRNA from 1 species